GCAACAGAAGCAGAAAUUAUUAUGCAUCGGCCUUGUAAGUCGAGGGAUAAAGGUAUUCAGUCCUUUUUGUU
rnacentral:tRNA from 1 species